rnacentral:rRNA from 1 species
AUGCAGUCGAGCGGUAAGGCCCUUCGGGGUACACGAGCGGCGAACGGGUGAGUAACACGUGGGUGAUCUGCCUCGCACUUCGGGAUAAGCCUGGGAAACUGGGUCUAAUACCGGAUAUGACCUGCUGUCGCAUGGCGGUGGGUGGAAAGAUUUAUCGGUGCGAGAUGGGCCCGCGGCCUAUCAGCUUGUUGGUGGGGUAAUGGCCUACCGAGGCGACAACGGGUAGCCGGCCUGAGAGGGCGACCGGCCACACUGGGACUGAGACACGGCCCAGACUCCUACGGGAGGCAGCAAUGGGGAAUAUUGCACAAUGGGCGAAAGCCUGAUGCAGCGACGCCGCGUGAGGGAUGACGGCCUUCGGGUUGUAAACCUCUUUCGACAGGGACGAAGCGUAAGUGACGGUACCUGUAGAAGAAGCACCGGCCAACUACGUGCCAGCAGCCGCGGUAAUACGUAGGGUGCGAGCGUUGUCCGGAAUUACUGGGCGUAAAGAGCUUGUAGGCGGUUUGUCGCGUCGUCCGUGAAAACUUGGGGCUCAACCCCAAGCUUGCGGGCGAUACGGGCAGACUUGAGUACUGCAGGGGAGACUGGAAUUCCUGGUGUAGCGGUGAAAUGCGCAGAUAUCAGGAGGAACACCGGUGGCGAAGGCGUGGUCUCUGGGCAGUAACUGACGCUGAGAAGCGAAAGCGUGGGUAGCGAACA